GUUACUGGGCCAGGCCCCCGACACGCGUCAGGGUAGAAGCAAGCAGAAGCCUGGCCCUGUUGGAGCUUACAUUGGUAAAUAACCAAGAUCAUUUCAGUGCUCCUGGUUCUCGGGCCAUCAGAACUGGAUCACAUCUACAGCAGCAGAUCUCCUGCUCUCAGGUCUUCACACUACACUGCCGGCUUUCCUGGGUCUCCAGCUUGCAGAGGGUAAAUCAUUCCCAGCCUCCACAAUCAUAGAACCCUAAGACACCACCUUAACCAGGUGAUCAAAAUAAAUGUUACCAAUGCCAUGGCGAACUGACAGCAUGCGCCACCAGAUGUGAUACACUGAAAAGGACACAGAGUCACUUACGUGGUAUUCCUACGAAAAACUCCUAUCCUGAUCCUGAAUCUAAUAAUGAGGAACGAAUACAAAACUAAGGGACAUUUUAUAAAACAACUGACUCAUACUCUUCAAAAAUGUCAGUGUCACGAAAGACCAAAAAAAAAAAGAAAAAAAAGGCUGAAAGGACUGUUCCAGAUAAAAGAGACUGAGUUAUUAUCAACUAAAUACAACAUGUGAUUCUGGGUUGGAUAUGGGAUCAUUUCUUGAAAGCCAUAAUGAGCCAGGCGUGAUGGUUCA